rnacentral:lncRNA from 1 species
AUGAUCCUUGAGACCUACAGCAUAGAAAACAGAAUUAAAUCAGUUUGAAACAUCUAUGAUAAACUAUGGGAAUGCUGUUGAGAAAUUUCACAAGAGAAAACAAGAAGGAAGAAUAAUCAACUUUUCUAUCACAUUUUUCCCCUGAAAGAUGCCAAUUCUGUAUCUUAUUAGUUUUGAAGGAAUGACGCAAGUACAAUUCCCCCCAUUAUCUUCUACAGAAAUUUGGUGUACGAAACUUUCUCCAAAACUUGCAUGUGCGCUGAUAUUCAGUCAAAGGCAAGAUGCACCUAUUCCAUCCUCCUCUCGCGUGAGAUUAGCCAGCAUGUCCAACCCUUAAUUGUUUUAUUUUCCAACUACUGACUAACAUAUCUUCUGACAUUAUGCCUGGGUGCCAAUGUUUCUAGUAAAGCGAUUUAUCAUCCCCCCAUCAGACGAUAGACAUGAGAUCAACAUUAGACAAUACCUUCAAUUAAUUUUAUUUAGUCUCAUCGACGUGAUACAGAGAUUGCCAAAAAGCCAUCGCGCUCCCAAAAAAGAGAAGCCUAAUUCCUGGUGUAUAUUGAUGUGUCCAGAGUGAUCAUAUUGGAGGAAAAUGCAACAGUUCCUCCACAACCAAACCUGAUACACUGGCAGCUGGACCAAGAUUGAAGCCCAAGGGUGUCUGCUACAGGGACAGAGAGAACUUCCUGUUAUGUCCAACAAGGUCUAACAUCCAUCUCCUUUCUCAAGGAUGCCGAGGGUUUACAGAACAUCAAUGAUAAGGGACGAAGUAUAUGGAAGACUCAGCAUAACCCAUAUCCCCGAUAUGGAAUGUCCUCAGCCUUUAAAGUUAGAAUAACCCCUUUCUCCUCCCAUUUGGUACUUUCUGGAUGCCCCAGGCUGCAACGUGCUCUGAUAACAUCAAUAAAUACCAGAGACACUGUAGCGAACAGGUAUAAAAGAAAAGGGGAAGAAAAUUGGAACAGCGGCUCUCAUCUCCUUUUAUAUAAGCCUCAUGACCUCCUCAACUUUAUAGCGCCAGGGAUAUGGUAAUGCCAAAGAAAUCACAACAUUUCGGUGUUAGGCUAGCAAGGAGAAAGGAUAGAUCUGAACAGUGAAAAUUGAAGUUCAAGACAAAGAACCAGUACAAGAAUUCAUAACUACAAGCAAACCCCUUGCUUUUGUAACUUAACAAACUGUUGUCGGGGUGUGCUAGUACACAUCACGUGUCUUCCUUAUGUACCUCACGUGUCUUUAUCACUACAUGUGUGUGUGUCUAGAAUCUUCUGAGGGGGCUGAUAUAAAUACCAGACAUCCUCUCCUUUUGUAUGUGUGAUUUUAGUACGAAUAACAUAACUAUUUUUCUUUCCUUUGUGCGUUGGUUACUAUAUAGCACAGAACUUGAUUCAAGAUUGUACAUGAUAUCAUAGCGAAUUAAGGCACACACUGUUUUUUUCUUCCUUCUACAUUGACCACCUACAGUUACGGUUCUUGCACCAUCCCUUCUUCAUCUCAAUAGAGAUUUGCUGAAGAAAUACCAGUUGAUUCUGGUCAUUUUGAUAAAAAUUUAAAAAUAACCUCACCCAAAUCACAUUUCUUUUCACAGCUCAAAAUCUGUUGUCUGACAUGUAGACACCCUUAAGUGUGAUGUGUGUGAAUUGUCAAAACACAUGUAUGCUUCUGUUCCAACUCAAGGAGAAAGGAGUGAGCUUCUUUUCU